CCUACGGGUGGCUGCAGUGGGGAAUAUUGGACAAUGGGCGAAAGCCUGAUCCAGCCAUGCCGCGUGUGUGAAGAAGGCCUUCGGGUUGUAAAGCACUUUCAGUGGGGAAGAAAGCCUUGGGGCUAAUACCCUCGAGGAAGGACAUCACCCACAGAAGAAGCCCCGGCUAACUCCGUGCCAGCAGCCGCGGUAAUACGGAGGGUGCGAGCGUUAAUCGGAAUUACUGGGCGUAAAGCGCGCGUAGGCGGUCUGAUAAGCCGGUUGUGAAAGCCCCGGGCUCAACCUGGGAACGGCAUCCGGAACUGUCAGGCUAGAGUGCAGGAGAGGAAGGUAGAAUUCCCGGUGUAGCGGUGAAAUGCGUAGAGAUCGGGAGGAAUACCAGUGGCGAAGGCGGCCUUCUGGACUGAAACUGACGCUGAGGUGCGAAAGCGUGGGUAGCAAACAGGAUUAGAUACCCUUGUAGUC
rnacentral:rRNA from 1 species